AAUUAUUUUUUGACCAAAUAUUUUAAUCUGAAAAUGAAUAAUCAAUUCACCUCGCAGGCUCAGAAGAAACUCCCAAGUUAAAACAUCUGUGCUGCUAUGAGACGUCGACUGGUACACCCUUCGCGACCUCGAUGACAUGACAACUUCAUGUAGAAUUCGACUUGUGAUCAGUGGCUGUGAAGCAGCAUCGUGCUGUAGUCAUGAUUUUUACAUAAAUAAAAGAAGUUUGUGGUGCGUUAACCAUGAGUCUUGAAUGGAAAUGAUACACCACAUUUUAAACCGUUUGUAUUUUCCACCGAAGUGCGUCAUGGGAACUUCAGAGGCAUCCUGAUGAAAUAUGGCAUCCUGAUGCAGACAAAUAUCUAAAAAGGCAGGUACAGUAUAUAUAUCUUAUUUAUACGCUCAUGAACAUGUAAACUGGACAAUAAUGAUUAAAUGAAUCUUUAUUUUCAAAUCAAAGUAUGAUAUUCGUAGUGCCGCGUGAAGCCUCUCAAGUAUAUGCUGGUGUAUCAGCAGCAGUUUAUUUAAGUGCGUAUCUAU